AGUGAACGCUGGCGGUAGGCCUAACACAUGCCAGUCGAACGGCAGCACAGUAAGAGCUUGCUCUUACGGGUGGCGAGUGGCGGACGGGUGAGGAAUACAUCGGAAUCUACUUUUUCGUGGGGGAUAACGUAGGGAAACUUACGCUAAUACCGCAUACGACCUACGGGUGAAAGCAGGGGAUCUUCGGACCUUGCGCGAUUGAAUGAGCCGAUGUCGGAUUAGCUAGUUGGCGGGGUAAAGGCCCACCAAGGCGACGAUCCGUAGCUGGUCUGAGAGGAUGAUCAGCCACACUGGAACUGAGACACGGUCCAGACUCCUACGGGAGGCAGCAGUGGGGAAUAUUGGACAAUGGGCGCAAGCCUGAUCCAGCCAUACCGCGUGGGGGAAGAAGGCCUUCGGGUUGUAAAGCCCUUUUGUUGGGAAAGAAAAGCAGCAGGUUAAUACCCCGCUGUUCUGACGGUACCCAAAGAAUAAGCACCGGCUAACUUCGUG
rnacentral:rRNA from 1 species